AUACUUUUCUUGGCCUUUUGGCUAAGAUCAAUUGUAGUAUCUGUUCUUAUCAGUUUAACAUCUGAUACGUGGGUCAUCAACUUACAUGAUAUUAAAUUAAUUUUUCUUGGGGGAGGGCCCACCAAGGUAGCUUGCUGCCGGGUCCUCAGAGCGUCGCCCAUGCGUUGGACUACUGCAUGGGCCUGGCGCACCCCAC